GCGCUAGGACCGAGCCCAGGCGGCCAUACCACGUCCGGUGUCCUUCCCAUUUCCGUUCCCGGUAACAUUCCCGGAAUCGGUUACCGGGAAAACGUCGGGAUCCACGGAGGAGCCAUUGCCGGAGGAGCGGCUGAGGGAGCUGGAUUGUUGCUAUGCCCAAGUGAAAACGCUCCGGAAUUCUGAAUUAAGAUGCAAAUUUUCGGGAAAUGGAAGAGUCCAAACCUUCAAAAAGGAGAAAAAUCCCAGAAAAUUCCAGAAAAAAAA